GGUCAGGUGCUUCCAUUCUGCCAUAUUGUGGAAGCUCCCAGCUAGCUAGACCCGCCCAGGUCCUGCGCCUGUCCUCUGUCGCGGAUUCCCCAUUCUCAUCAUCCCGAGGACUUUGCGGAGCUCUGUUCCUUACAGACCCGGGUUGGCUUGAUGGUGGUGAUUCCCAACUGAUCCAUCCUCCAGCAUUUCUGCUGAUGUUUAUUAAGCAGACAGCAUUAAUUAACAGCAUACUCAGAGUCCAUCCUGGGUGCCACUGUCUCAACACAAAGCUUUCAGGAUUGCCUCCACAGAAGAAAGAGAGCUGGAUGGUUUUGCACACAUGUUAUUCUACUCACAUAGCCAGAACUAUCACAUGGGCCCUAUCUAACCGCAGAGGGCCUGGGAAAUGUGGGGGGGAAAACCAUAGGCUAUUUAGUAAGCAAUAUUAUCUCUGCCACAGUUGCUGACUCUGUCUUUAGUGCCCGAC
rnacentral:lncRNA from 1 species